rnacentral:piRNA from 1 species
UGCCAAGUUGAAUAGUUGUUUACUAUAUGG